rnacentral:rRNA from 1 species
UACGUAGGGGGCAAGCGUUGUCCGGAAUCAUUGGGCGUAAAGAGCGUGUAGGCGGUCCCGUAAGUCCGCUGUGAAAGUCAAGGGCUCAACCCUUGAAUGCCGGUGGAUACUGUGGGACUAGAGUCCGGAAGAGGCGAGUGGAAUUCCUGGUGUAGCGGUGAAAUGCGUAGAUAUCAAGAGGAACACCUGAGGUGAAGACGGGUUGCUGGGCUGACACUGACGCUGAGGCGCGAAAGCCAGGGGAGCAAACGGG